AAGUUUUCGGAUCGUAAAACUCUGUUGUUAGAGAAGAACAAGGAUGAGAGUAAAACGUUCAUCCCUUGACGGUAUCUAACCAGAAAGCCACGGCUAACUACGUGCCAGCAGCCGCGGUAAUACGUAGGUGGCAAGCGUUGUCCGGAUUUAUUGGGCGUAAAGCGAGCGCAGGCGGUUUCUUAAGUCUGAUGUGAAAGCCCCCGGCUCAACCGGGGAGGGUCAUUGGAAACUGGGAGACUUGAGUGCAGAAGAGGAGAGUGGAAUUCCAUGUGUAGCGGUGAAAUGCGUAGAUAUAUGGAGGAACACCAGUGGCGAAGGCGGCUCUCUGGUCUGUAACUGACGCUGAGGCUCGAAAGCGUGGGGAGCGAACAGGAUUAGAUACCCUGGUAGUCCACGCCGUAAACGAUGAGUGCUAAGUGUUGGAGGGUUUCCGCCCUUCAGUGCUGCAGCAAACGCAUUAAGCACUCCGCCUGGGGAGUACGACCGCAAGGUUGAAACUCAAAGGAAUUGACGGGGGCCCGCACAAGCGGUGGAGCAUGUGGUUUAAUUCGAAGCAACGCGAAGAACCUUACCAGGUCUUGACAUCCUUUGACCACUCUAGAGAUAGAGCUUCCCCUUCGGGGGCAAAGUGACAGGUGGUGCAUGGUUGUCGUCAGCUCGUGUCGUGAGAUGUUGGGUUAAGUCCCGCAACGAGCGCAACCCUUAUUGUUAGUUGCCAUCAUUUAGUUGGGCACUCUAGCGAGACUGCCGGUGACAAACCGGAGGAAGGUGGGGAUGACGUCAAAUCAUCAUGCCCCUUA
rnacentral:rRNA from 1 species